rnacentral:rRNA from 1 species
CCUACGUGAGGCAGCAGUGAGGAAUAUUGGUCAAUGGGCGCGAGCCUGAACCAGCCAAGUAGCGUGAAGGAUGACUGCCCUACGAGUUGUAAACUUCUUUUAUAAAGGAAUACAGUGAGGCUCGUGUGCCUUUUUGUAUGUACUUUAUGAAUAAGGAUCGGCUAACUCCGUGCCAGCAGCCGCGGUAAUACGGAGGAUCCGAGCGUUAGCCGGAUUUAUUGUGCUUAAAGGGAGCGUAGAUGGGUUGUUAAGUCAGGUGUGAAAGUUUGCGGCUCAACCGUAAAAGUGCAAUUGCGACUGGCAGACUGGAGUACAGGAGAGGAAGGUGGAAUUCGUGGUGUAGGGGUGAAAUGCGUAGAUAUCACGAAGAACUCCGAUGGCGAAGGCAGCAUACCGGCGCCCAACUGACGCUGAAGAGCGAAAGCGUGGGUAUCGAACAGGAUUAGAUACCCUUGUAGUC